rnacentral:tRNA from 1 species
UGUCCCGUGGUGUAACUGGCAACACGUCUGAUUUUGGUUCAGAAGAGUCCAGGUUCGAGCCCUGGCGGGACAACCA